rnacentral:rRNA from 1 species
CAGANAACUUAGCANACCAUGCUUCUGGUGCCUUCGGGAACUCUGAGACACGGUGCUGCAUGGCUGUCGUCAGCUCGUGUNGUGAAAUGUUGGGUUAAGUCCCGGCAAAGGAAGNGGCAACCNUUAUCCUUUGUUGCCAGCGGUCCGGCCGGGAACUCAAAGGAGACUGCCAGUGAUAAACUGGAGGAAGGUGGGGAUGACGUCAAGUCAUCAUGGCCCUUACGAGUAGGGCUACACACGUGCUACAAUGGCGCAUACAAAGAGAAGCGACCUCGCGAGAGCAAGCGGACCUCAUAAAGUGCGUCGUAUCCGGAUUGGAGUCUGCAACUCGACUCCAUGAAGUCGGAAUCGCUAGUAAUCCGUAGAUCAGAAUGCUACGGUGAAUACGUUCCCGGG